UUACUACAUUGCAGGAAGAUGACGAUUACUCCUCUUCUACAGAGUCUGAUGUGAGCAUGGGUAAAUGGGACCCCAGCCUGGAAACAAAUAGUUCUGGCAGUGAUGUGCAAGAUGAAGAUGAUGAUGUUUCAACAGAAGCUAAAUGUGAUGAAUCUAUAUCGCUGACCAAGGCUGAGGACACUCUGGGGUUUUAUAGAGAUGAAGAUGAGGACUCUCUCACUUUUCUUCUUCCAAAGAGUUCAACAGAUUGUGCCAGCGGAGGAGAUGUUGUCAUAGGUGGGCAUAUAUGUACAAUCAGUCA